rnacentral:sRNA from 1 species
ACCGGGUGCAGUGGCAGGUGCCUGUAAUCCCAGGGGCUUGGGAGGCUGAGACAGGAGGAUCGUGAGUUCAAAGCCAGCCUCAGCAACGUCGAGGCACUAAGCAACUCAGUGAGACCCUGUCUCUA